CUACGGGGUGCUGCAGUGAGGAAUAUUGGUCAAUGGGCGCGAGCCUGAACCAGCCAUCCCGCGUGCAGGAUGACGGCCCUAUGGGUUGUAAACUGCUUUUCUAUGCCAAGAAACCUGAUUACGUGUAAUCAGUUGCCGGUAGCAUAGGAAUAAGCAUCGGCUAACUCCGUGCCAGCAGCCGCGGUAAUACGGAGGAUGCAAGCGUUAUCCGGAUUCAUUGGGUUUAAAGGGUGCGCAGGUGGGCUUGUAAGUCAGUGGUGAAAUGCUGCCGCUUAACGGUAGAACUGCCAUUGAUACUGCGAGUCUUGAGUAUGGUUGAGGUAGGCGGAAUGUGUUGUGUAGCGGUGAAAUGCAUAGAUAUGACACAGAACGCCAAUCGCGAAGGCAGCUUACUAAGCCAUUACUGACGCUGAGGCACGAAAGCGUGGGGAGCGAACAGGAUUAGAUACCCCUGUAGUC
rnacentral:rRNA from 1 species